UGGGGAAUAUUGGACAAUGGGGGAAACCCUGAUCCAGCAAUGCCGCGUGAAUGAAGAAGGCCUUAGGGUUGUAAAGUUCUUUUGUCCGUGACGAUAAUGACGGUAGCGGACGAAUAAGCCCUGGCUAACUCUGUGCCAGCAGCCGCGGUAAUACAGAGAGGGCAAGCGUUGUCCGGAAUGACUGGGCGUAAAGCGCGCGCAGGCGGUCUUUUAAGUUGGGUGUGAAAUCCCCGGGCUUAACCUGGGAACUGCAUUCGAUACUGGAAGACUAGAGGCCGAGAGAGGAAAGCGGAAUGACGAGUGUAGAGGUGAAAUUCGUAGAUAUUCGUCGGAACACCAGAGGCGAAGGCGGCUUUCUGGCUCGGACCUGACGCUCAGGCGCGAAAGCGUGGGGAGCAAACAGG
rnacentral:rRNA from 1 species